rnacentral:rRNA from 1 species
AUUGAACGCUGGCGGCAUGCCUAACACAUGCAAGUCGAACGGCAGCGCGGGGGCAACCCUGGCGGCGAGUGGCGGACGGGUGAGGAACACAUAGGAAUCUACCUCAACGUGGGGGAUAACGUAGGGAAACUUACGCUAAUACCGCAUACGACCGAGAGGGGAAAGCGGCGGACCGCAAGGCGUCGCGCGGUGAGAUGAGCCUAUGUCCGAUUAGCUAGUUGGCGGGGUAAGAGCCCACCAAGGCGACGAUCGGUAGCUGGUCUGAGAGGAUGAUCAGCCACACUGGAACUGAGACACGGUCCAGACUCCUACGGGAGGCAGCAGUGGGGAAUAUUGGACAAUGGGCGCAAGCCUGAUCCAGCAAUGCCGCGUGGGUGAAGAAGGCCUUCGGGUUGUAAAGCCCUUUUGUACGGGAAGAAAUCCUGUCGGUUAAUACCCGGCGGGGAUGACGGUACCGUAAGAAUAAGCACCGGCUAACUUCGUG